CGCAUUCGUAAUGCGAAGGUCGGGGGUUCGACUCCUCUCAUCGGCACCA
rnacentral:tRNA from 1 species